UUGUAGGAUUGCUUUGUCAAUACAAAAAAAUGUCAGUACAAAAAAGCUGCAGCAUAGCACCACCUCUAACAACAACAAAGAAAUCAUCUAACUGAUACUUUUGAAACGUAAGAAAAUGUUUGAUCCUGAGCUAAAAAGCAACACAGACAGAUUUUUUUGGGAAACAUCAUACUGUACAACAAUAUUGUCCUAAGAUAUGUGUUGGUCAUAAAAUGUGCCCCUUUUAUUAAACAAAGCUGAGAUGUUUUAUGCAUUUUAUAAAGAACACUCAGUCAAAACAGACAAUAGAUGUAAUUAAAUUAAAUUACGCUAAGAAAUGUAAACAUUGCAAGCAAACAUUAGUAAAAAUAAAAAACCUACGUAACAGAUAUGGGUCCUUGUGGGGUAUUUCAGAAUGCAGGACUAAUUACUUUGUGAGCUAGAUAUUCAUAGUUUCUAUCAAGCCUGAUUUCUGAUUAAUAAAGGUAACUGGAUUUGAGCUUAUUUCAAGUUCAACAUCUCUUUCAACAAUACAUUCCGCAGAAUUUCAGACUGUGUAUACCGGAAUUAGCUUGAUAACUAAUUGAUCCCACUUCCCCAAAAUACUCCUCAGAUUUACUGACAACCAAAUGAAUGUCAUUGCUUCUUUUAACAGUUACCUCAGCUUUUUAUACAAAAUGAAAGAGGCAAACUUUAAAACUAUCCAGCUGUCACAAAUACCAGAAAGCAGUAUGCCAUAUUGUACCUGAGAUGAUACAUUUAGCUGAAAAUAAUAACAAAAGUUGGAUGGAUGCCUGAUAAUAACUUACAGAUACAAAACAAAAGAGGUAAUCAUUUUCAGUACAGCAACAGCACAGGGUUAAAUCAAAAGCAUAAUACUACAAGCUAUGAAAAGGGUCUUAAAAUAGUCAAAUAUAUGGGUUAACUAUUCACACUGUGACCAGCAGACUUAUCAGCAAAUACACUUAAAUCUACAGUGAUGUGCAGAAUCUGCAUGAUAAAUCUGGUAGCAUGGAAACCCAUCUUCUUUAACUGUUAUUGAUACCAUUCCUAUAUAUAGUAUUUCAAAACCUUAAUUUCACAAUCAAAGGAUGUGCAAAAAAUCGUUCAAAUUUAAAACUAAUUUGAGAACCUUUAUAUAGUCCGGAACUUCAAUUCAUACAAAUGUACAAUUACUAAUUUAUUAUGAACUAAAAAUAAUAAAGGCCAAAUAUUGAAAUCAAAUCUAAGCUUCAUUAGGUGAAAUUUUUGCCUGCCUUUUUUUCAUUUGAAGGCAUAGUCCAAAUGCCUUAAAAUGACCCAUUUUCAGCUUGUGUCGUAGGGUAUCAGGAUGUUACCAUUGAUGACAUGACAUUGGCCAUAUGUUGUACUGGACAAUUAGAUUACAUUACUGUGGGAUGUAGGUUUGUCUAUAGGCCCCUAAGAAGACUACAACAAUGCUAUAACACUUUUCACUGGGUACAAAUACUGAAGUAUGGAUGUGGAAAAUAUUAGAAUUACUGGUAACACAUUUCUUUCUUAUGUGGGCCAAUGAUUGAAAGCUGCAUAUGUCACAACAAUAUCAUUAGUCUAUUGACAAAAUAAGGUUUAAAUCUGUGUGACUUGACUUAAACAAUGGGAUUAUGGAAAGAAGUGUCUGAGUGUCGACUCCCAACMAAAAAAAGCAGAGGUAUGUAGUUUUCGGCCUUGGUGUCCAUGCGAGACCUGGAUAGACACACAGAAACUUGAAAUAUGACCAAUUACUCUGUAGCAAAUAACACACAGGUCAUUGAUUG